rnacentral:rRNA from 1 species
UACGGGAGGCAGCAGUGGGGAAUAUUGCACAAUGGGCGCAAGCCUGAUGCAGCCAUGCCGCGUGUAUGAAAAAGGCCUUCGGGUUGUAAAGUACUUUCAGUCGUGAGGAAGGUGUUAAGGUUAAUAACCUUAGCAAUUGACGUUAGCGACAGAAGAAGCACCGGCUAACUCCGUGCCAGCAGCCGCGGUAAUACGGAGGGUGCGAGCGUUAAUCGGAAUUACUGGGCGUAAAGGGCACGCAGGCGGUUAAUUAAGUUGGAUGUGAAAUCCCCGGGCUUAACCUGGGAAUGGCAUUCAAGACUGGUUAGCUAGAGUCUUGUAGAGGGGGUAGAAUUCCAUGUGUAGCGGUGAAAUGCGUAGAGAUGUGGAGGAAUACCGGUGGCGAAGGCGGCCCCUGGACAAAGACUGACGCUCAUGUGCGAAAGCGUGGGGAGCAAACG